rnacentral:rRNA from 1 species
CUUAACACAUGCAAGUCGAACGGAAAGGCCCUGCUUUUGUGGGGUGCUCGAGUGGCGAACGGGUGAGUAACACGUGAGUAACCUGCCCUUGACUUUGGGAUAACUUCAGGAAACUGGGGCUAAUACCGGAUAGGAGCUCCUGCUGCAUGGUGGGGGUUGGAAAGUUUCGGCGGUUGGGGAUGGACUCGCGGCUUAUCAGCUUGUUGGUGGGGUAGUGGCUUACCAAGGCUUUGACGGGUAGCCGGCCUGAGAGGGUGACCGGCCACAUUGGGACUGAGAUACGGCCCAGACUCCUACGGGAGGCAGCAGUGGGGAAUAUUGCACAAUGGGCGGAAGCCUGAUGCAGCAACGCCGCGUGCGGGAUGACGGCCUUCGGGUUGUAAACCGCUUUCGCCUGUGACGAAGCGUGAGUGACGGUAAUGGGUAAAGAAGCACCGGCUAACUACGUGCCGGCAGCCGCGGUGAUACGUAGGGUGCGAGCGUUGUCCGGAUUUAUUGGGCGUAAAGGGCUCGUAGGUGGUUGAUCGCGUCGGAAGUGUAAUCUUGGGGCUUAACCCUGAGCGUGCUUUCGAUACGGGUUGACUUGAGGAAGGUAGGGGAGAAUGGAAUUCCUGGUGGAGCGGUGGAAUGCGCAGAUAUCAGGAGGAACACCAGUGGCGAAGGCGGUUCUCUGGGCCUUUCCUGACGCUGAGGAGCGAAAGCGUGGGGAGCGAACAGGCUUAGAUACCCUGGUAGUCCACGCUGUAAACGGUGGGUACUAGGUGUGGGGUCCAUUCCACGGGUUCCGUGCCGUAGCUAACGCUUUAAGUACCCCGCCUGGGGAGUACGGCCGCAAGGCUAAAACUCAAAGGAAUUGACGGGGCCCCGCACAAGCGGCGGAGCAUGCGGAUUAAUUCGAUGCAACGCGUAGAACCUUACCUGGGUUUGACAUGGAUCGGGAGUGCUCAGAGAUGGGUGUGCCUCUUUUGGGGUCGGUUCACAGGUGGUGCAUGGCUGUCGUCAGCUCGUGUCGUGAGAUGUUGGGUUAAGUCCCGCAACGAGCGCAACCCUUGUUCACUGUUGCCAGCACGUUAUGGUGGGGACUCAGUGGAGACCGCCGGGGUCAACUCGGAGGAAGGUGGGGAUGACGUCAAGUCAUCAUGCCCCUUAUGUCCAGGGCUUCACGCAUGCUACAAUGGCUGGUACAGAGAGUGGCGAGCCUGUGAGGGUGAGCGAAUCUCGGAAAGCCGGUCUCAGUUCGGAUUGGGGUCUGCAACUCGACCUCAUGAAGUCGGAGUCGCUAGUAAUCGCAGAUCAGCAACGCUGCGGUGAAUACGUUCCCGGGGCUUGUACACACCGCCCGUCAAGUCAUGAAAGUUGGUAACACCCGAAGCCGGUGGCCUAACCGUUGUGGGGGAGCCGUCGAAGGUGGGACUGGUGAUUAGGACUAAGUCA